rnacentral:rRNA from 1 species
GAGUUUGAUCCUGGCUCAGGACGAACGCUGGCGGCGUGCCUAACACAUGCAAGUCGAACGAGAAUCUUUGAACAGAUCUUUUCGGAGUGACGUUUAAAGAGGAAAGUGGCGGACGGGCGAGUAACGCGUGAGUAACCUGCCCAUAAGAGGGGGAUAAUCCAUGGAAACGUGGACUAAUACCGCAUAUUGUAGUCAAGUCGCAUGACUAGAUUAUGAAAGAUUUAUCGCUUAUGGAUGGACUCGCGUCAGAUUAGAUAGUUGGUGAGGUAACGGCUCACCAAGUCAACGAUCUGUAGCCGAACUGAGAGGUUGAUCGGCCGCAUUGGGACUGAGACACGGCCCAGACUCCUACGGGAGGCAGCAGUGGGGAAUAUUGCGCAAUGGGGGCAACCCUGACGCAGCAACGCCGCGUGCAGGAAGAAGGUCUUCGGAUUGUAAACUGUUGUCGCAAGGGAAGAAGACAGUGACGGUACCUUGUGAGAAAGUCAC